AGAGUUUGAUCCUGGCUCAGGAUGAACGCUAGCUACAGGCUUAACACAUGCAAGUCGAGGGGCAGCAUGGUCUUAGCUUGCUAAGGCUGAUGGCGACCGGCGCACGGGUGAGUAACACGUAUCCAACCUGCCGUCUACUCUUGGCCAGCCUUCUGAAAGGAAGAUUAAUCCAGGAUGGCAUCAUGAGUUCACAUGUCCGCAUGAUUAAAGGUAUUUUCCGGUAGACGAUGGGGAUGCGUUCCAUUAGAUAGUAGGCGGGGUAACGGCCCACCUAGUCAACGAUGGAUAGGGGUUCUGAGAGGAAGGCCCCCCACAUUGGAACUGAGACACGGUCCAAACUCCUACGGGAGGCAGCAGUGAGGAAUAUUGGUCAAUGGGCGAUGGCCUGAACCAGCCAAGUAGCGUGAAGGAUGACUGCCCUAUGGGUUGUAAACUUCUUUUAUAAAGGAAUAAAGUCGGGUAUGCAUACCCGUUUGCAUGUACUUUAUGAAUAAGGAUCGGCUAACUCCGUGCCAGCAGCCGCGGUAAUACGGAGGAUCCGAGCGUUAUCCGGAUUUAUUGGGUUUAAAGGGAGCGUAGAUGGAUGUUUAAGUCAGUUGUGAAAGUUUGCGGCUCAACCGUAAAAUUGCAGUUGAUACUGGAUGUCUUGAGUGCAGUUGAGGCAGGCGGAAUUCGUGGUGUAGCGGUGAAAUGCUUAGAUAUCACGAAGAACUCCGAUUGCGAAGGCAGCCUGCUAAGCUGCAACUGACAUUGAGGCUCGAAAGUGUGGGUAUCAAACAGGAUUAGAUACCCUGGUAGUCCACACGGUAAACGAU
rnacentral:rRNA from 1 species